UAGAAAUAGAGGUGCCGUCUUCCCGGUAGGACCGAUUACCUGGAAGAGUAACUUUUACCUAGAUGCAUAAGGACAGAAUAUGGGCCCGACUAUAAAUUCUACCCAUAGAUUUGGAGACCCUAACUUGGUCGAGAGUUCUUAUUUUAAUCGUGUUGACACGUCAAUUGUGCGUCUCAAAGUGUAGAAGGUUCAACAAUCUCAUUUAGUGGUAGAAAAGUGUCCAGUACAUUUAGGUUCACGUCAGUUUUGGGGUUAGGUUGCAACAUGUUUGACUUGUCAACUAUACCACUUGUUGCGCUUUCAAAUGGAACGAAGGAGUUAAUUUCUAUUUUAUUGAAUCCCAUAAAAUGUUUACCAUCGGAUGAUGGAUUGCUAAGUUUUCUUCUUUAUUUUUAGAGAUUGGAGGGGAUUAGCCGAUUUGUCCGGUCUAGGUUGCAAAGACUUGUCAAAUCUUUCGUCAAAGCCUGAUCCAUGUGGGUAUGUUCUGAGUAUGAUGCAGGAAAAGGCUCGAGGUUUCACUUUGUCAGAAUUUCAAACGCUGUUAGAAAGGUUAGAUCGAUGGGACAUUAUCGAUGAUACUAUGUGUUUGAUGGUCACAGAAAAAGAUGCAAGGACUUACAAAGAACGCUGUGAAAAAAUAUUAACAUCUGCAAAUGUGAUUAACGACGAUGUUGAUGAGCAUGCAUUAACAAAAGAUGACAUUUAUCGGAUCGCACAAGGACUAGAAGUUCAAAAUUAUGAUGCGUUUCUUUUAUUUGACGAUGAGGAUGUGAAUUUUGCCAAUGAAAUUUGUGACAACCUGGAGAAUAAAAAUGGUCUCAAGCUCUGUAGAAAAGACCGAGAUUUCAUCAUAGGACUCCAGUUCGAACACACAGCUACCAUGACUUUGAUAUCCGAACGCUGCAACAGAUUACUUGUCGUUGUAUCGCCAAACUUCCUCAAAAGUUCAGCCAAUAAAUUCUUCCUCAAUUAUGCUCAAGCGGUUGGAAUAGAUAAACGACAGCGUAAAAUUAUUCCCUGUCUCUAUCAGAAGUGUAAACUUCCUCCAGAGUUGAGUUACUACUUUACACUUGACUACAGUAGAGGGGGACAGCUGUGGGAUUUUUGGGGCAGGUUAAGAGAUUCAGUAAGAACGCCACAAAAGCCAACUCCAACAGCAAGAUCUAUUAUGCCUCCAGCUACGAUACAAAAGUCCCAUUCCAGUGAAAACGUAUGUUGUGAAGUAAAGAAAAGGUGUUAUCCAGAAACACCAUGCCGCACAGAGAAUAAUGAUCGACCAUGCGAAAUAAAGCAAGCGUGCGUUACUGAAAUUAGAGAAGAAAAGUCAGCACCGGUGCUGAGAAAAACAAACGGAUCACGUUUACGGUAUUUUAGAAAAAAAAAAAUUGGAUGGAUGAAACCUACCACAGAACAAUCGUCAUUAGCUGAGCUUCAUUCGACUGACAGUCUUCCAUCUUUGGAAUCUUCCACUUAUUCUUCGACGCUAUCGCUGCCUGAAUCGAGUCGCAGGAAAAAGAACUUAGUUCAUAAAUAUGUGAACAAGGUCAGGGGACUUAUGAAGUCUCAGUGCAAUGAAUGAUUAACUACCCAACUGAAUGGGAGAAAAAACAAGGAUCUCUGGAAUUGCUCGCUAGAACAUCGAUGGCAAGCGGUUUAAUUAAAUUGGAUUUUUACGAUUGAAACGUUCGCAAACGAAGUAACAUUGUAUCUCUUGCCGGUGUAAAAUAGAUUGAUUCUAUUUCACAAUUUUCUUCCUAGACUGGGAAAAUAUGUACAUACUUAUGUUUGUUUAAUACGGGUGUUAUGACGUAUCGCUAGUCAUAAUUCCUGUCCUCGUGGAUGUUUUUCAAUCAACGUAAAAUGCAACAAAGCUCAUUUACUAGGAAGUAAAACUAAAGGGGGUAUGCCAUUUCGUUAUACAGAAUUCACACCGUUAUACUUGACAUACUUAGUAUACAACUUUAUAAAUAUGAGAAUCAUGAUACAGAUUUUAAUGACAUUAUUAUCGAAUGUUAUAUGUAUAAUUGAAUAAGAUAGGUAUAUUUUUUCGUACGUAAGUACGUACCUAUGCAUUACAAUAUGAAUUCCGUACUCACAAUCAGUAAAAAUGAGAACUCUGUACAACUUCAUUAAAUGUUACACGCCAGUUAUCAUUUGAACAGAAUGAUAAUUUAUCAGCUGCAAUAAUAGUUAGUUUAUACGUUGAGUGAAGAUAAGAAUAGAGGUGCGGAAAGCGUGGUGGGGGCGUUGAGUCUACACUCAACGGGGAAGAUAAGUCGUUCCUAUCUACACUCAACGGAUAAGUCUGGCUUCCGUGCACUGAUUAUGUAAUACACUAGAGAUCAGUGGUUCCGUGUGAGCCUUGACGAAAAUUAGAAGUCUAUCCAAGCGCCAUCUUAAGACCUCGAAUUAGACCAUCUUAUUUUGGCUCGGUUUUAUCAUUGAGUAAUUAUACUCAAUCUCUGCUAUACUUCUAGUACGAAGUAUAGUUAACUCAAUGGUUUUAUCGUUGAGUGUAGAUCUACACUCAACGGUUUUAUUAAGACUUUGAAUUUUAUUUUCAACGAAUUCGUUGACCGGAAUACCGCCCAGGAUUACAGUGAUUCUCCUGCCUGAAUUAUACAGCAUUUACAUAGAACUUCGCUAUCAAUUUUCAACAUAAAUCACGUACAAACAUAAUUAAAAUUUUUAUCAAUAUAAAUAACCAUGUAAUACAAAACAAUUCGGGUUUCACCGAAGUCACAUAACACAAACAAGUUUUGCUCGACUUCUGUCAAUUUUGACAUCCGGUAAUUUAGAAUAACUAGACCCCAUGGGACCGAAUAGGACUUGUGACAUCUAGCCUAACCAUUGAAUUAAGAAACUGACAACUACCAAGAUAGUCAACAAUAAUUUUACGUCUUUUACCUGAAUUAUUGUAACAAAUAAUUGAUUGGAAUGAUAAUGAUUUUCAAAUGAAUCCCUCAACUUCAAUCUUUUAUGUGAUAAAUUGUUUUCUCAUGAUAGUUUCUCAGCGUAGAGCCAUGGCUUCAGCUACCGAUGAUCAACCAAAUAUCUAUCAACAUAUAUCUAGAUCUAGCAAUAAAUUUUGCGGCACCUUCUAUUCGAAUGUCGCUGCUAGAAUCAUCGACAAUGUUGCUUGCUCUCCAUUGAGUACGCACAUCAUUUUGUCUUUGGUAGCAUACGGUUCACGAGGAAAGACUGCCGACGAA